GACAGAGGGGGCAAGCGUUGCUCGGAAUUACUGGGCGUAAAGGGCGCGUAGGCGGAAUGGCAAGUCGGUCGUGAAAUCCUUCGGCUCAACCGAAGAACGUCGAUCGAAACUGCCGUUCUUGAGGAUUGCAGAGGAGACUGGAAUUCCCGGUGUAGUGGUGAAAUGCGUAGAUAUCGGGAGGAACACCAGUGGCGAAGGCGACUACCUGGCCCAUUCUUGACGCUGAGGCGCGAAAGCUAGGGGAGCGAACGGG
rnacentral:rRNA from 1 species